UUGCAUUCGUUGUUACGCAGCAACAGAAAAUGUCGAAGCAUACUUACGCCUUGUUCUUGAACUCGGUGAUUCUAACUUUGUUUGUUUCAAUACACUUUGAUGAAAAAAUCAAUGUUUAUUUUUCGUUUGCUAUGUGUUUAGAUGUUUUAAUUGCCAUAAAUUUGUUCUCUUAAGAAUUAAAAUUUCACACAUUUUUACAUCUGGUAGUUUUCAUCAUAAACACGAGUUUAUAGUAUAGUAAUCCCUUUCAGUUCUUCAGUGAAAAUGGCUGGUAAUGUAGUGUAGAGAUUAUAUAUUUAAUGGUUUCUCUGCACCUCCCAUGACCAGCGAUAUCACUAUUCCAAUCAUCUCUGUCAAGUUCAUUACUGUCCUCAGACACUAGUCAGGUAUCCUCUUUAACAUACUAUGGUUGAUACAGUUACGAGUCUGGAAAAUUAACGUUGUCCUUCGUUACAGAUGUUGUAAUGUUCAGUGCUCACAUCUGCUCCAUUAGGACAAUACAUUUGUAGCGCAUGAUCACUCUUUACUCUUUGUUU